CUGCCUUCCACACAUCCCAGAGCUGCUGGAAACCUCACAUCAAAUUGCAGCUCACAUGUUGGGUUAUUUUUAUCUUUCUGGGGAGAUGGGGGAUGAAUGGACAGCGGAAGGAAGGAAGGAAGAUAUUCAAGGGCUUGGAUCCUCUGGUCAAUGGGUAAUUUGCUGGUGAAACUGAGGUAGGCAGAAUCUGGCUGCCAGCUGGCCACUGAGGCUGAGGAAAACCAUGGCUGGAUCCCAUAAAUACAUCGUGGUCCAUACCCCAUUGAAUUAAAAAGACCUAGAGAAUA